rnacentral:rRNA from 1 species
GAUGAACGCUGGCGGCGUGCUUAACACAUGCAAGUCGAACGGAAAGGCCGAAGCUUGCUUCGGUACUCGAGUGGCGAACGGGUGAGUAACACGUGGGUGAUCUGCCCUGUACUUCGGGAUAAGCUUGGGAAACUGGGUCUAAUACCGGAUAUGACGAUCUCUUGGAUGGGGUUGUGGAAAGCUUUUGCGGUAUGGGAUGAGCUCGCGGCCUAUCAGCUUGUUGGCGGGGUAAUGGCCUACCAAGGCGUCGACGGGUAGCCGGCCUGAGAGGGUGUACGGCCACAUUGGGACUGAGAUACGGCCCAGACUCCUACGGGAGGCAGCAAUGGGGAAUAUUGCACAAUGGGCGCAAGCCUGAUGCAGCGACGCCGCGUGGGGGAUGACGGCCUUCGGGUUGUAAACUCCUUUCGCAAUCGACGAAGCCUUUUGGUGACGGUAGGUUGAGAAGAAGCACCGGCUAACUACGUG